CUAUCUCUUGCUUCAACAUUGUUUGGAUAGAAUAG
rfam:Loxodonta africana unplaced genomic scaffold scaffold_11, whole genome shotgun sequence.